rnacentral:rRNA from 1 species
GACGAACCGUGCGACCGUUGUUCGGAUUUACUGGGCGUAAAGGGCGCGUAGGCGGCCACCGCAAGUCGACUGUGAAAUCUCCGGGCUUAACUCGGAACGGUCAGCUGAUACUGCUUUGCUAGAGUGCAGAAGGGGCAAUCGGAAUUCUUGGUGUAGCGGUGAAAUGCGUAGAUAUCAAGAGGAACACCUGAGGUGAAGACGGGUUGCUGGGCUGACACUGACGCUGAGGCGCGAAAGCUAGGGUAGCAAACGGG